rnacentral:rRNA from 1 species
UACAGAGGUCCCAAGCGUUGUUCGGAUUCAUUGGGCGUAAAGGGUGCGUAGGCGGCGCGGUAAGUCGGGUGUGAAAUCUCGGGGCUUAACUCCGAAACUGCAUUCGAUACUGCCGUGCUUGAGGACUGGAGAGGAGACUGGAAUUCUCGGUGUAGCGGUGAAAUGCGUAGAUAUCGAGAGGAGCACCUGCGGCGAAGGCGGGUUGCUGGGCCGACACUGACGCUGAUGCGCGAAAGCCAGGGGAGCGAACGGG